rnacentral:rRNA from 1 species
AUUGAACGCUGGCGGCAUGCCUUACACAUGCAAGUCGAACGGCAGCACGGGUGCUUGCACCUGGUGGCGAGUGGCGAACGGGUGAGUAAUACAUCGGAACAUGUCCUGUAGUGGGGGAUAGCCCGGCGAAAGCCGGAUUAAUACCGCAUACGAUCUACGGAUGAAAGCGGGGGACCUUCGGGCCUCGCGCUUUAGGGUUGGCCGAUGGCUGAUUAGCUAGUUGGUGGGGUAAAGGCCUACCAAGGCGACGAUCAGUAGCUGGUCUGAGAGGACGACCAGCCACACUGGGACUGAGACACGGCCCAGACUCCUACGGGAGGCAGCAGUGGGGAAUUUUGGACAAUGGGCGAAAGCCUGAUCCAGCAAUGCCGCGUGUGUGAAGAAGGCCUUCGGGUUGUAAAGCACUUUUGUCCGGAAAGAAAUACUUGGCCCUAAUACGGUCGGGGGAUGACGGUACCGGAAGAAUAAGCACCGGCUAACUACGUG